AUUGAACGCUGGCGGCAGGCCUAACACAUGCCAGUCGAACGGUAACAGGAAGCAGCUUGCUGCUUUGCUGACGAGUGGCGGACGGGUGAGUAAUGUCUGGGAAACUGCCCGAUGGAGGGGGAUAACUACUGGAAACGGUAGCUAAUACCGCAUAACGUCGCAAGACCAAAGAGGGGGACCUUAGGGCCUCUUGCCAUCGGAUGUGCCCAGAUGGGAUUAGCUAGUAGGUGGGGUAACGGCUCACCUAGGCGUCGAUCCCUAGCUGGUCUGAGAGGAUGACCAGCCACACUGGAACUGAGACACGGUCCAGACUCCUACGGGAGGCAGCAGUGGGGAAUAUUGCACAAUGGGCGCAAGCCUGAUGCAGCCAUGCCGUGUGUAUGAAGAAGGCCUUCGGGUUGUAAAGUACUUUCAGCGGGGAGGAAGGGAGUAAAGUUAAUACCUUUGCUCAUUGACGUUACCCGCAGAAGAAGCACCGGCUAACUCCGUG
rnacentral:rRNA from 1 species